AGAGUUUGAUCCUGGCUCAGGACGAACGCUGGCGGCGUGCCUAACACAUGCAAGUCGAGCGAUGAAGUUCCUUCGGGAACGGAUUAGCGGCGGACGGGUGAGUAACACGUGGGUAACCUGCCUCAAAGAGGGGGAUAGCCUCCCGAAAGGGAGAUUAAUACCGCAUAACAUUAUUUUCUCGCAUGAGAAGAUAAUCAAAGGAGCAAUCCGCUUUGAGAUGGACCCGCGGCGCAUUAGCUAGUUGGUGAGGUAACGGCUCACCAAGGCGACGAUGCGUAGCCGACCUGAGAGGGUGAUCGGCCACAUUGGAACUGAGACACGGUCCAGACUCCUACGGGAGGCAGCAGUGGGGAAUAUUGCGCAAUGGGGGAAACCCUGACGCAGCAACGCCGCGUGGGUGAUGAAGGUCUUCGGAUUGUAAAGCUCUGUCUUUGGGGACGAUAAUGACGGUACCCAAGGAGGAAGCCACGGCUAACUACGUGCCAGCAGCCGCGGUAAUACGUAGGUGGCAAGCGUUGUCCGGAUUUACUGGGCGUAAAGAGUAUGUAGGCGGAUAUUUAAGUCAGAUGUGAAAUUCCCGGGCUUAACCUGGGCGCUGCAUUUGAAACUGGGUAUCUAGAGUGCGGGAGAGGAAAGUGGAAUUCCUAGUGUAGCGGUGAAAUGCGUAGAGAUUAGGAAGAACACCAGUGGCGAAGGCGACUUUCUGGACCGUAACUGACGCUGAGAUACGAAAGCGUGGGGAGCAAACAGGAUUAGAUACCCUGGUAGUCCACGCCGUAGACGAUGAAUACUAGGUGUCGGGGGGUACCACCCU
rnacentral:rRNA from 1 species